rnacentral:rRNA from 1 species
GACGAACGCUGGCGGCGUGCUUAACACAUGCAAGUCGAACGGAAAGGCCAGUGCUUGCACUGGUGCUCGAGUGGCGAACGGGUGAGUAACACGUGGGUGAUCUGCCUUGCACUCUGGGAUAAGCUUGGGAAACUGGGUCUAAUACCGGAUAGGAACCGUCUUUAGUGUGGUGGUUGGAAAGUUUUUUCGGUGCAAGAUGAGCUCGCGGCCUAUCAGCUUGUUGGUGGGGUAAUGGCCUACCAAGGCGUCGACGGGUAGCCGGCCUGAGAGGGUGUACGGCCACAUUGGGACUGAGAUACGGCCCAGACGCCUACGGGAGGCAGCAGUGGGGAAUAUUGCACAAUGGGCGGAAGCCUGAUGCAGCGACGCCGCGUGGGGGAUGACGGCCUUCGGGUUGUAAACUCCUUUCGACAGGGACGAAGCGUUAUGUGACGGUACCUGUAUAAGAAGCACCGGCUAACUACGUG